UGAGACCCUGACUUAAUAAAAAUAGAAAAUAAAUAAAAUGAGCUUGGGGUACGAACAUCAAGUCCGCAGUGCGGACAGCAGAACAGCCACAUCUGGCCCCUCCCCUGGGCCGCAGCCCAGCUCCAGCAGGAAGGACUUGGGUCUCCAUGCUGGGCAUCGCAGCCUCUCCUCCUCUUUGCCCUCCCAGCCCAUACCUGGGCAUCGGAGGACGGGCAAGGGCACAGGGCGGCCCCUCUGAACCAGACUCCCCGAGGCCACCUGGACACCGUGGCAACAUGGGCAGGAACCGGCUUCCAUGGCAACUGGUGUCCAGGGAGGCGCUGCCUGGCAACGGGGCCAUGGCCCCCCCAGCACGCCGUACUGGCCACACUUUCCGCCCUCAAGGCCGGGAGUUCCGGCUUCCAGCCAGUGCCCCCGCCACAGCCGCAGCCGCGCCCUGUCCUGCACGACAUCCCGGAGCCUGGACCUGAGGCGAACCCCCAUGCCCACCCCAAUCCAGGACACCGCUUGGCAGGGUGCUUGGCCUUUGUUAGCGUAUCUGACCCUGGGCCACCCGUCUCCAUGAAGACCUUUCCCUCCUCAGCAUCCUGGCCCCUGUGGGGCACCUAGCAGGCUGGGGACACACGGAGCAGGUGCAGCCCCCACCCCACUCAGGGAUGCAGAGAGCAGGGGGCAGUCCCCGCCCCACUCACUCAGGGACCUGGAGAGCAGGGGGCAGUCCCCGCCCCACUCACUCAGGGACCUGGAGAGCAGGGGGCAGUCCCCGCCCCACUUACUCAAGGACACAGAGAGCAGGGGGCAGCCCCCGCCCCACUCACUCAGGGACACAGAGAGCAGGGGGCAGACCCCGCCCCACUCACUCAGGGACACAGAGAGCAGGGGGCAGCCCCCGCCCCACUCACUCAGGGACACAGAGAGCAAGGGGCAGCCCCCGCCCCACUCACUCAGGGACACAGAGAGCAAGGGGCAGUCCCCGCCCCUGCUGCUCAGGACCUCCUCCACCCCACCCCAGGGCCACCUCGCCUCAGGGCUCCUCCAAGAGGCCUUCCUUAGCCCCCAUCCCAAGUUGCCCCAUGGGGUCUCUCAGCUCAGCACCUCCUGAGACCCAUGACAUUCCAGCAAAGAAUGAAAAGGGCACAGGCUAGGAGAGGGUCCUAGAGGCUGCUGCCACCCUCUGGCAGCUAAACAGACAGCCUCUGGCAGCUAGGACCAGGUAUCCAGCCGCCUCUGCUGGGGAGGCCCCAUGUGGCACCGAGAACAGGAGAGAGGUCAUCUGCAGACAAGAUAUUUCGAGACACUUCUUGAGGUGGAGAGUGGAGGCUGACGUAGCAGGACAGCCUGGCAGGAAGAAGGCAAGCGGCAGCCAAGCAGUGGCCUCGUCACUGGUGUAAGGAGACACAUGCUGCGAACAAGCAUGGCAGGACAGCAGUGGGAGCUGGUACUGUCCCCACUCCAGACGGCAGCCCUGCAGCCCAAGAUGCCGCCUGGAGGCAGGAGGACUCCCUCCCAAGACCUGGGUGUCCGGCUUCCUCAAGUUAAAAAGGAGAGAGGAGUGCCCGGCAGCUCUGCCUGCCUCCCCUAUAAACAGGGAUCGAAAAGAAGGAAAAGCCAGACAUUUGAGCACUGAGUCUCAUGGGAAGUUCCAAGACUAAACAAAACAGAACCACAAGAGAGAAAAUGCAGAAAGAAAAGAUUUGCCUUCCCCCAAACCCACUUUAUCCAUAAGAGCAGAACAGAAUUCUCUGGAACAAGAAGAGGGGAGCUUGGGGAACGACGGAGAUGUCUUGGAAAUGAAAAACAGGACUGCUAAAAUCCAAAACCAA